GGCCUCCCUAUCCUUGCCGCAGACAGUGCCUUCCGUCAGCACUGAUUGCAUAGAAAGAGGAGGUAGAGUACAAUUCCCUGUUACACCACAGCCCUGCUUCUCCUGUUGCUCGGGCUGUAUUGUUGCCAGGGAGACAUCU